rnacentral:rRNA from 1 species
AGUGAACGCUGGCGGCGUGCCUAAUACAUGCAAGUCGAACGGAGUGGCGCCCGGGUGAGUAAUGUAUAGCUAAUAUGCCCUCCACUAGAGGACAACCGUUGGACACGACUGCUCAUACUCUAUAGUGUAGGAUGAGGCUAUAUUGUAUCAGCUAGUUGGUGAGGUAAUGGCUCACAAAGGAUACGACGCAUAACUGGUAUGAGAGGAUGAUCAGGCACACUGGAACUGAGACACGGUCCAGACUCCUACGGGAGGCAGCAGUAGGGAAUAUUGCUCAAUGGGGGAAACCCUGAAGCAGCAACGCCGCGUGGAUGAGGACACUUUUCGGAGCGUAAACUCCUGUUGUUAGGGAAGCGUUAGUAACUGAACGUCCCCUGACGGUAGCUAACCAGAAAGCCACGGCUAACUACGUGCCAGCAGCCGCGGUAAUUC